rnacentral:lncRNA from 1 species
GAGGUGAGAUUGAUGGUGAACCGAGCUGGAGAGCUGAGAGUUGUGCUUGUUGGAUAAGAUCCGAUACUAAUUAUUAUAAAAAAUAAUAAUAAUAAUCAAAUAUGUGGAUCAACCAAAAAGCUCGCCUCCACGAGGCAUGCAAAGCUUCACUAUGAAAAACAAAAAUUAAUUACAAGAGGAGACCUCACUUGCUCAACUCUCAAAUCCC